ensembl:lncRNA
CCUGACCUUCUGAUCAGUAACCCAGAGCCUUUAACCACUGAGCCUGCCCAUUUAACCCAUGCUGAGAUGAAAUAAUUAGACGUGAAUGGACUAUUACACGUUUAAAAGGUUAUACAUGUACAUAAAUCAUCCACUACACCUAAAAUUCUUCAUUUCCCUUUCUUUGAAAUACUUUUUACUGCCUGUAGAUGGUGCCCCACGCUGUACUGCUGUGUGAACGCGACACGCUGAAUCCCAAAUAGCCCUAUAUUAUAAACAUAGUGCACUAGGUAGAGUGCAUCAUCCGUGAUUUUACAUGAUACGUAGUGCACUCGUGUAGGCGGCCAUUUUGUGAUAGGGCGUGCUCCGCGCGUGUUUACAUGUGGACUGACAGCGCCGUUGCUGUUCAGAGCAGCUUGCCUAGUAACCAAGCGGAAGUUGAAGUGUCCGAGUGGUCGCGCGCUGCCUUUUCGCCGGUGGAAAAGUUACGCCUGUGCACAUCACUCGAGGUCUUCACAGUAUCAAUCCUUGAAGAAACAUCACAGAACUCGUUGUUGACACCGAGGGCAAAGGUGAUCCAUUAUUAUCUUCGACAUUACCUGCCCAGUCACUGUGUGUUUUAUGGUUAACUGGUUUGUGAACGUGUGUUGCCUUGCGCAGUAGAUUUCCUGAUUGUUAACUUUCUUCUACUGCAAAGGUUGCUGCGUGACUCAUAUUUUUUCCUCUGUGAUAUCGAUGUGCAUCAAGGCUUUCUAUUGAGUUCAUUGCGAGGAUUCAUUGUCCUUGUAAUGGCUGCAGUUUAUGGAUUUGUCUCAGCUUGAGAUGGAUUACUAUCACCGUGUUUUCUUUUACUACAGCAGAGCAGCACCGAGUUUGGAAAUAGUUUGAACUUGGUAGUUGGAGUGUUUUUUUUUGUUUUGUUUUUUUUUUGCACUUUAAUUAGAUGAAAGCCUUGUACAAGGAAAAAAUCACCGACGGGGUGGUGUGGUGAAACCUGACAUGAAUACGAGUUACUGUUAGAACCUCAGAGUUGAUUAUUUUCCUAUGAGAAGUGUUUUAUUCAUCUUGUACCACAGAAAAUACCAACAGUUAUGAUUUGUUAUUCAUUAAAUGUAUAUUUAUUAAAAUGAUGGCAUUGUUUUAAUCCAUUUCUAGUUAGAUGUACACUUGCAUUUGGCAGACGCCCUUAUCCGGUGCGACAUACAUUUAUCUCAUCUAUAUAUCUGAGCAGUUGAGGGUUAAGGGCCUCGCUCAAGCGCCCAACAGUGGCAGCUUGGCCAAUUAAUAGUCCAGCAUCUUAGCCACGGAGCUACCACUGCCCCAAAAAAUGUUCAUUGCUUUGCAAUGUCUGUGGAAGACGUUUGGGAUAAUAUAGGAGAACUAAGCACUUCAUUCCCUGCUGAAAUUCAUUAUAUAUCUUUCCUCAUGUUUUUAAUUUUUUUAAGUGAAUACUCUAGAGGUACUGUCCAGUGCUGAAACUCUUUUCAUCCGUAUUAUGGAGGUAUUCUUAAUAAAAUGUUGGCGUAGACCCACCUACUUUAUAGUAAAAAAAAAAAACGGUUGGGAUGUUUACAGGGCCAGGCUUGAUGUAAAUGCCUACGUAUGUCGAUGAGAAGUUUCAUUUUUUUGACAAGCUUUCCUACAUCUCUCUGCCGUUCUCCCAUAUCAAGGUUGUCGGAGUUAUUUUUGGGCGUCCUCCUGUGAUGCCGAUCCCACUCGGGCAGCCUAUUUUUACUGCCUCUCACGUCUCGGACAGAACCCACGUCACCAAGCCUGACCACACUACAAUCUAUUUUCACCUCCCUCGGGCCUCGGAAAUUUUUUUAAAAUUUUUUUUUUUUAAUACUUUUUCCCCCAGACCUUCACCAUUUAGCAGAUAUUUAUUCCCCCUGUUGUUUUCUUC